rnacentral:lncRNA from 1 species
GGUAUGCGAAGAGAUAAUUAUAGUACAGUAUUUACACGCUGUGCGUAAGAGCCAGCCGUAAGCAUAGCAUAGCAGCGGAAGUGAUUGUCUGGGGAAGAGAGCUAAGAAGGCUGAAGAAAAGGAGAUUUAUUGAUCUUUGAGUUAAAAUUUGAAGGAUGAGGUGUGAGUUGACAAGUUGAGUGUAUGAUGGAGGAAAGGAUUUCAUUGCAGAUAAAUGGAGGGGCUGCGGGUCGUGUAGAAUGACAGGGAACGAAGGUAAAGAGGAGAGAAGAUGGGUCGGUGAGGCUGGAGAAGAGUCGGGGGCCAGGUCCUAAAAGAUGAGGGCUUUGAAGGCUGCGUAAGCAGUGCCAAGGACGUCGAUGGAUCUCACUCUUGAGGCCGCAUGGAUCCAUUGAAGGAUUUUAAGCAGAGCUGCAACAUGAUUGAAUUUUUAUUUUCCAAGGAUUCCUCUGGUGGCCGUACGUACAGUGAGUGGACUGGAGCAAGAGAGAGACCAUUUAGCAGACUAUUGACUAGUUUUCUUGAAGCAACCAACGGCCUUGUCUGCCGCAAAGAGCAUGACCUAGAUUCACUGUUCACGUUCCGGUUCAGCUGCUACUCUCUAAACUAACCCGGAAAUUACUUACAUUGAAUGAUAGUCAUCUCGCACUGGAUAUUGUGGAAAAUCAUAUCUACACAUAGACUUGCUCUAGAGAGCGGAGUAGUGGUACCUGUUACAUUUCAGCUUCUGUUGUGGUUGCGUUUGAGGUUACGUUCAGCCAAGUGUAGGAUUUUCAAGAAGUACUUCCACUUUACUUCUACCGCGCUGUCCCAGUAAAACAGAAGGAAAUCAGAACGUUUACAAGCAUUUGAUAGUCACAUUAAGCUCCACAUUUCAGGACUUUCCAAACACUUUAAAAGACAGCAAAACUAAGGCUGUUGCAUUUGGAAGCCCUGCCAGACUCUCCAUUGGAGAUUCAGGCUUCGUGUCCUUGCUGGGAAUAGACUGGAGCCCUAGCUCAGCAGGUGAGCUGUUUAGCUGGAAGGAGCAUCGGCAUUUACUCUGCCCUUGGGCCUUCAAGGGGUUAGUGAGAGGGAUGUGACUCGGUGUCCCUGCCACCUCGCAUCUCGGCUCUGAGGACCCCGUCCCUGUCUGGAGCAGACACUGGCUGCGUUACCACUGCAGGCGCCGCCACAGGACGUAGGUUUCGGUCAGGUCGGCAUUGUGACUUCACGGGCUGACGGUGCCGAGAGAAUUGUAGGAGGUACGUACAAAAUAGGAGUUCCCGUCGCGGUGCAGCGGAAAUGAAUGCCGCUGGGAACCCUGAGGUUGUGGGUCUGAUCCCAGGCUUGCUCCUCGGGUCAAGGAUCCGGCGUUGCUGUGGCUGUGGUGUAGGCGGUGGCUACGGCUCUGAGUAGACCCCGAGCCUGGGAACCUCCACGUGCCGUGGGUGCGGCCCUGAAGAGACAAAACGCCAAAAAACAACGAUGCGCACAAAAUAACCGUAAUACAAAUAAGAUAAGCGUGAGUCAGGUAAUUUUGAAAAUUAUAAAGGACUCAAGUCAUAUUACAUAAAAUAUUAUGUUUUAUGAAGUGUAUCUCACAUGUUCUCAAUAUUUAAAGUGCUUUUCCAAGUAAAUCUGAGAUAGAGUCACUUUCCUGGAUACCUGUGGAAGAUAAAUGAUAAAGGCAUAUUCAGAUUUUAGGGCUUUAAACCUACAUGCAUUUUUUUGUUGUUGUUGUUUUGUUUUGGCUGUGCCUGCAGCAUGUGGAAGUUCCUGGAGCAGUCAUCAAACCUGAGCCACAGUAGCCAUCAGAGCCACAGCAGUGACAACACCAGAUCCUUAACCCACUAAGCCACUAGGGAACUGUGCUAACAUACAUAUUUUGACCUCAGGGUUGAUCAGGCUUAAUAUUCACUGAUCUCUAACUUGGUUAAGGUCCCUCUGAGCCUCAGAGGGGUGUGUGUGGUGUGUGGUGUGUGUGGGGGGGGUGCGUGAUGGAGAUAAUCCUGCCUUUCAGAUUUGUUGUGAUAAAAUGGUGAUUAUAUGUAAAAGCACCAAAACCAACGGUCUUUCUUUCCUGUCGUCUCUGCCUAAGCCGACCCACCUUUUCACUGUUGCCCCAUGUUGGGCCUUGAGACAUUAGAUUCUUUGGGGUAUUUUAAGGUGUUCUUUUCUUAACUUAUGAAAAAUUUUAGACAUGCAACAAAAUUAAAAGGGUUUUGCAAUGGAAAAUCUUACGUCCCCCACCUAAUUUUGCCAUUUCUUGUGGAUAUCUCCUGUCGAUUUGCCUGUUCCUUUACCCACCCAGCUCUGUGAAAAUUUCUCCGGUGAUUGUUCAAGACGUCUCUGAAAGAGGUGUUUAACUAAUUUGGAGGCCAGGAGUGCAGAUAUUUGUACGUACCUUACAUCUGACCUGUUUGCCACCGUCUGUACCGGCGGAGAACGUGGUUUCUAAGAUUGUUGGCUUCCUGGCUCUCCCGGGACUGUCUGUGCCCCCGCACUGCCAUUUCUGACCGUAACUCAUCCCGGUUGCAUUUUCCCGAGCGCACUUUCCCUUGACCUUCUGUAGUGUCAGCCUUCGAGUGGGUUCUUUAGUCCUCAUCUCUUUCUCCUUUUAAAGCAUCUUUAAAAAGUAAUUUAAAAAAUACGGCACGUCUCAUGCCUGGUGAGCAGAGUGGAGUAUCAGCGGAGGCCUUAAAAUCUCAGGUAUCUCAGUACUUUCCAUCCACUCCUGCUUCUUGUUUCUGAGCUUGGGCUCUUUCUCCAGGACAGGGGUCUGUUGCGUGCGGCAUAGGAGUAAAUGCAGUCCUUUACGUGUCUGGCUAGAGGCUCCAGCAUUGAAAGUCUUUUGCCGUCUCAGUGCAUGUCUUUUAAAGGAGUUUUAAUCAGAUGGCAUUUGCCUUUGUGUUACGAGGAUUUCCUUAACAAGCUGCGGGGACCGUAUUCUGGAAAGUUUCUGCAAAGCAGACUGUUCAUGACUGUGUCUCUCGGCUCCUUUCAGCUUCUCAUUGCCUUUAUGUGACGAUCCUCUCAGAGUUGAGAGCGACUCACGGGUACUAAAGGACACAGCUUCUUUCUGUUUCAUUUUUAGAGAAUGUUUUAACUCGUUCUCUCUCAGAAAUCAACUGUCAUGAAAGAAACAAGAAAUGGGCCAAAUUACUUGGCUCUGAAAUCCGGCUCCACCAGUUACUAGCUGUGUAGCUUCGAGUAAAUUGUAAGCCACCUCUCGGCGGUGACUCUUCCUUACCCAUGAAAUGGAGAUGAUACCAGAGCCCCCCUGAGGGAUGCGGACACUGAGCACCUUGGUGCAAGUGCAGAGCUUAGAACAGUGCUGGGCACGUGGUACGUACUUGAUGUCGAAUUGGAUCAUUCACGGUCUCUGGAUAUGGCUUCUCCGGCGAUAGCCACAUGGUUAGUGUGACUGAGUUCCUGAGUUAUAAGUUUUAUUUAAUUUUAGUUAAACUUUAAAACUCAUCCUCUCUACAGUUAUUGAAAAAUUGUAAAGUGAGUUUUGAGUAACUUUUCAACUCUUAAGUUUUGUGAAACCGAAAAACAGAUCAAGGAUUUCUGAUGAAAAUUUAGCGUAUGAAUUGAGAUAAGCUAUAAUCAUAAAUACACACCAGAUUCUGAAGACUUAAUAAAAGAAGAGUAUAAAGUAUUUCCUCUGAUUUUUGUAUCGAUUAUUGGCUGAAGUGAUAAUAUUUCAAUGUAUUAGGUUAAACAAAAUGCAUUGUUAAAAUUUUCACCUGUUCCUUUCUUUUACUUUUUAAAAUGUGACUGCUAGAAAUCUUAAGAUGACUUAAGUGUCUUGAAUUGCAUUCUGUUGGGUGAGACUUCUCUAGGCCUCGGGUUAGGGGGAAGGGCAGAGGAAUAUAGACUGGGGGAGACGCUUUUUCUAAUUAUGCAGGUAUCUGUGGAGAUUCCAGAACAUCUUUGCUCAGUGGAGCCUUUCUUCCCGUCACAUGAAUCCUGCCUCCUACCCUCUUGCUGAAAAUCCGUGCCUUUCAUGCGCCUGCUCUCACUCAUGGGAGUGUUUUGGAUGCGUCAGGUCUGCUGGGGGAAACGUUAUGGGUCACUGCUUUAGGUUAAAGAGUAUCACUCGGGCUCAGCCCCUCUCAGUGACUUCCACGACGUAAAUUUCUGGAGUUCCCUGAACUAACGUGUACCACUAAUCCUGGUAUAGUGAACCCCAGAGACUAAAGCUGAAGCAUAACUUAAGCAGAUUUUGCUUAAGGAACGAAUUGCUGGAUCAAAAGGUGAAGAAGUUGAGAAGGGCAUGUUGUGUCCUAAAAGCUAAAUUUCCAGGAUUUUUUUUUAACUCACAAAGCUAAACAACUUGAAACUUUUGUCUCUGACGUGAAACUGGGACGUAGUGUUUUGUCUUUUUCCUCAUGCCUCUUGGUUCUUUCAGAUUCUGUGGUUAUGUGCAGAGGUUUUCUGACUUGUCUAAAGAAGUGUGAGGCGUUCCCGUCGUGGCACAGUGGUUAGCAAUCCGACUAGAAACAUGAGGUUGCGGGUUCCAUCCCUGGCCCUGCUCAAUGCGUUAAGGAUCCAGCGUUGCCGUGGGCUGUGGAUCCAAGCCGCAUCUGUGACCUCCACCACAGCUCAUGGCAACGCCAGCUCCUUAACCACUGAGUGAGGCCAGGGAUUGAACCCGCAAGCUCCUGGGUCCUGGUCAGGUUUGUUAACCACUGAGCCUCAAAAGGGACUCCUUAACCAUUUCUUAAUGACUGAGAUCAUUAUGUGGUGUGUGUGUGUGUCUAUAAAAUAGUCAGAGUUCCGUGGGCUUUUAGUGGUCUAUUACUAACUCUGUUUUUCCCACAAACCCAUGUUUAGUGCAUAAUUUUCCAAGAUGUCAGGUUUUCAGGGACAUGUGUUGUAGAAAAGUCUGGAUUUCAGUCUGUGGCUCGUGAUCAAAAAGGUUUGAAAGACACUGCCCUCGAAAGCUGUUUUCUUGUGCUAAUAAUAAUUUCUUACGUUUUUGUAGUACUUGGCUGUCAAACCUCUCUCUCUGUGAUGUUGCCAAUGACAGGUAAACGAGGGAAGGAUUUGACUUCUUAUUGUUUUUAAACUGUACAGUAGGCAAGCACAAUCGAACCAAAGAAUGCAUGGGCUUUGAAAUUAGUCUUUUAAUUUUUGCCUUUCCAUUUAGUAGCCAUGUGACCAUGGAUGCCUUAAUUAAUCUUGUUUAACUUCAGAACCUUAGUUUUUUGGGGGUUUUUCCCCAAACUAAAUGGGAACUGCCAGAAUUGUCGAGUGCUUUAAAUCAAUGAAACACAGUGCCUGGUAGGGCGCCAGGGAUAAAUCUCACCACAGAAUGUUGAGUGGAAGGAAGUGGACACAAAAGGGGACAUGAGGUGUAAUUGUAGUUCUAUGUAAAGCUCAGAACAGGCCACACUAACCUGCAGUGGUGGCAGUCCAGGCAGUGCUUCCUCGGGGCGGAGUAGCGGUUGGGAGGACGCUCGAGAGUCCUUUCUGCAGUGCUGGCAAUGACCUCUCUCUUUGUCGGGAAAACACAUUAUGAACGUUUGUUGAGUUUCCUACUUAUUCUUUCUUUAGUUUGUUACCAGUAUGUUUCAAGUGGACUGCGUUGUGACUCAAUAGCUGUAUCCACUGCAAGGUGGAUGCCGUCCCCAGCCGGUUGCCACGCUUCACCCAUUUCACUCACCUUCCCACCCCUUCCCUGUGCGAGCCACUGGUCUGACCUCUGUGGUUGUGAAUUUGAAUUUGGUUUUGUUUUAUGUAGUUUGUUGUCUUUUUUUCGCUUUUUUUUUUUUUGUGUGUGGUUUUGUUUUUAGAUUCCACGUAUGCUUGAGAUUGUAUCCUACUUGUCUUUCUCUGACUUAUUCAAACUUAGCAUACUACUUUCAGGGUCCAUCUGUGUUGUCAUAAGUGGCAGGACUUCAUCUCCAUUGUGUGGGUAUAUAUAUAUAUAUGUAUAUGUAUAAUGUAUAUUAUAAUUUAACAAAAAGUUGUUUUUCAAGUACUUAGCACAGAACCAUCACAUAAUUGGUUUCCUUCUGCGGUGGUCCCAUAAGUUAACAAUGUGAGAGUCUAUAUAACAUAAUGAUCCUAGCCUCUGUCUGCUCUAAGUGUUCGGUUUCUUUGUUCAGUUAUGGCUCUGUCUCCUAACUUCGGUGGCAAACCUAGGCAUGCUUCAGGAACGUGGGCUGGUGGUGAUUCUGACCGGUGUAGUUGAGGGAGUUUGGUUUGGUCAGACAGGGUGAAAGAUGGGGUCGGACCACGGUGCUCCAGAAGUAAGUGAGGAAUAUGUGACUUUUGAUUCAACGCUGUUUCCUGAUCUUUAGGUGAUUUGGUGUUUCGCUUUUUAAGUGACAAUUAAGUGGGUAUUUUUUUCUGAUUCGUAUAAUAUUUUAUCUGGUGCAUCAAGUAUAUCAUUGAACGUUUUCAUGUUGGGAAGCUGGACUUAUUUCUGGCGUUUUUAAUACAAGCCCCUUACAGUGUAGCAGGCUUUGAAACGGCCACUCCCGCGCCCUGUAACACCUUAUAUUUUUUGCUUAGGUUCUUAUCCCUGACAGAGAACCACACUUACUAUAUUUGUAACAAAAUAGAACUUACAUACUUGGACAUUUAUGCAAGACCCUGUUAUGGAAAACUUAGAGUUGUUGACAAUUCAGUUUAUGAAGCUGAGAAUGUGACCUUUUUCUGCCAGGCAGUGUGUGGGAUAUAAAGUAAGCCUUUGACUCUCUGCCCUCGGGAAGGUGGAAUUCUGCAGGAGAGUUUGGUGAGGUAGCAGGAAGUAAAUCUGUCUGCCUUUGCUUUUGGUCUUUGGGAUGCUGGCUUUUCAGAGAAGGUUUCUGAUAGAGAUACUAGCGAGCCUCUAAGCCAGGGAGAGCUGUGGUGAUGAUUGUGUGGGUACCAAAGGAGUCAGGAGACAGAGAAUGGCCUGACUUAAUCGUGGUCAGUAAUAUGACCCAGAGUCAGGGAGGUGGCGAAGUACCUCCUGUCAGUCACUUAUUUAUGUUCAUUCAUUAAAAUGGAGAUGACAGCCAACAUUCACAAACCCUUUGGAGUAGGCAUUACUGUAUCUGUUUUAAAAGUGUAGAGAUUGAGGCUCAGAGACACUUAGUAAUUUGUUGAAGUUUAUGUGGCUAGUGGCAGAGUCGAUACUCAAAUCCAGAGCCCACCUGUACCAUGUGCCGGAUUUAGCUAGUAACACUAUCCAGGUAAAGGGCAUGCUUAUCAGGAAGAUACCUAUCUUGGAAACAUGCUAAAUGGGAGGCCAGGAAGAAAACUGAUAGCAGGUUACAUCUAGGACUACCCAGGAAAGGGAAUGCUCUGACUCAAGGACUUACUUUCUUGAGUCGCUGGGUAGCUUUGUGUGUUCCUGUUGUGAGAUGGUUGAAUGAAACUGUCAAACCCUCAUGCAGAUGCACCUGUUGCCUGUUUCUCUUUUUAUUAUAAUUGUGUUAAAUGUGUAUCACAUAAAAUUGAUCAUUUUACCCAUUUUAAGGCAUUAAGUACAAUUAUAGUAACGUGUGGCCUUUACCAGGGUCCAGCUCCAGAAUUUUUCAUCAUUUCGAAAAGGAACUCUGUAUCCAUUAAAUCGUGACUCUCCAUUCUCCUACUCCGCCCCGCCCCUGGUCUCCUCUGUUCUUACUUUCUCUGUGAAUUUCCCUAUUUUAGUUGCCACAUAGAAGUGAAACCACACAGUGGUCAUUCUUUUGUGUUUGGCUGUGUCACUUAGCAUAAUGUCUUCAAGUUCAUUGUGCUGUAGCAUGUGUCAGAACUUUAUUCCUGGAGUUAGCACUGUGGCCCCGUGGGUUAGGAAUCUGACUGCAGUGGCCAGUGGUUCGAUCCCUGGCCCAGCACAGUGGGUUGAAGGAUCUGGCAUUACUGCAGCUGUUCCUAGGUCGCAGCUGCCGUUUGAAUUCAGUCUUUGGCCUGGGAACUUCCAUGUUCCACAGGUGUGGCCAUAAAAAAAAAAAAAAAAAA